GGAUGUCGGAAUGGCUAACCAUCCACUGACUGGUAGGGCCGCAUAGGAUGGUCGACUUCGGCUCUACAUGUCGCCUCCCCCGCGCACGGUGAGCCGCUGCUGCCGGCGUUGCGUACCCGCUAACCGCCGCGGACAAGGCCACCACGACGUCACAGAAAAAGGGAAGGGGUCGAAAUAUCCAAUCGAGACCCACCACCGAACGAGUCCAAAUCCGCUCGUCUCCCCUCGAAGUCACUCCCUCCAGCCCUCGCCGGCUCCGCGUCCUCCGGCUCUCCCACCCGAGCCGAGACCACCCAUCCAAGCGCGCGCAGCUCCGGAAGCGACAGGGCCGGACGAGCGCCUCCCAAAUUUAGCAGCCGCGGAGCGCGUGGGCGUGGGUCCGUAAGGAGGGUCGAUGGGGUACCUGCCGUCCCUGAGCAGCAAGGCGGCGCACUUCGUGUCCGACCUCACCACCGUCAUCCUCAGCCCCGUCUCCGAGCGCGAGACGUCCCACCUCCCCGAGGUUGACGAAGUGCUAGAAAAUUUGGACGAUGAUAAAGAUUCCGAGCACAAUUCCGAUAGCCUUGAUGGCCCUGACACAUCUUCCUUUAGAGCAUUCUUGAUCUCAUUUUUGUCAUCAUCGAGCUCUAAUAACGAUUCAAUGGAGAUAAUUCCUGAGCAGAAUGGGGACAUGGGUUACCCUACUUUAACACCCAUGGGGAAGGGAAGCAAGGGAAGAACGGGUCUGUUAAGUAGGGGGAAGCAUUCCAUCGGAAAAAUCAUUAACAAGGCGGCAAGGAUUAGUGGUUUCAAACAAACAACUGCAGAGCCUAAAAUUGACAGGGAGGCAGUAACUCAUACUGAACCAGAUGCACCUGUACUGGAGCACCAGGAACCAAAGGAAGUUGCUUCCUUCGGUAGUUUGCCAACUAUGUCGGAACCAUCUGUUCUUUUGUCAGAACUGAUGCAAAGGAUUCUUUAUGCCUCUCUCCCGGCUCUUGCCCAGGGAAGGAACUGGGUCUUGCUAUACAGUACAUGGAGGCAUGGCAUAUCUUUAUCUACUUUAUAUAGAAGGAGCAUGCUUUGCCCUGGUUUCUCACUCUUGGUUGUUGGGGAUAAAAAAGGCACAGUUUUUGGUGGUUUAGUUGAGGCCCCAUUGCAGCCAUCUAGUUCAAAGAAGGGACCAAUAAUUCCUUUGUUUUCACUAAUUUACACAAUCGCCCUGUCAUCUAUCGACCGACAGGUGCAAAUAACUACUUUACGAUGUGCUCUACCGACUAUUUGGCUCUGGGGGGAGGAGGUCAUUUCGCACUUUAUCUUGACGCAGACCUUUUGAUUGGUUCAAGUUCUAAUUCAGAGACUUUUAACAACGGGUGUUUAUCGCAUUCUUCAGACUUCUCAGUGAAAGAUGUUGAGCUUUGGGGCUUCGUCUACCCUUCCAAAUACGAGGAGAUGCUGACACUCUGCCGGACUGAGAAACCAGGAAUCUGUCGAUGGUGAGUGGUGACCAAUCCCAUAGCCAGUUGAACAGACAAAUGGACAUGUCGCGUCUGUACAGUUUUUAGUAGGCUUUGAGAGUUGCGAGCAUUUUUGUGCGCCGGUAGUACUGGAGACUUGCUUUUUCUCAAGCGACUUCGCUCAGAUUUGUAAAUAGUGUACUUUUGUUACUGUCACAUGGCGAAACAUGUACGCUACUAGUUGUUCCAGUGAUGGGCACUUUGAGGUAAACUGUCACUGGUGGAUCAGGCUUCUACCCAGGACUCGUGAAACAGCA